rnacentral:rRNA from 1 species
UUAUCCUCAUAAGUUUGACGACAAGAGGUAUCCCCUUAAAAUUUAAAAAUAGCACAAACUCAUUUAAGGGUGUGCUAUCAUUUUAAAAAGUAGGUAGGCGGCAUAGAAUCGGAGGCCCCGACUGUUUACUAAAAACACAAUUCAGAGCAAUGAUUAAGAUCAUAGUAUUCUGGAUGAAACUUGCCCGAUGCCAUUAAUAUAAGAGAGGUAAUGGGAUAACUGUUACUAAUCGAAAGUCUGGUUAAUAGCGGUCUUAACUAUGAGGAUCCAAAGGUAGCAAAAUAAAUUGGCCAUUAAAUGUGGUCCGGUAUCAAUAGUAGAACGAUGGUCUCACUGUCUCUACAACUUGCUCAGUGAAAUUGAAUUACCCGUGCAGAUGCGGGUUUCCUUCGGGUGGACGGGAAGACCCUAUGCAGCU